UUGCCACGUGGCAGGUGAAGUGUUGGCACCUAGGCGAUGUGUGGAGGUGAACAGAGAGGUACGCCAGAGUGUGACCUGACAGCGACGUGACGACACGCUGAUGGAGACACGAAGGCCACUCUACGCUCGCUGUUCAAUGUGGCGUGUCACGCAGCAAGGGAAGUGUUGGCACCGGCACCGAGGCGAGGUAUGGUGAACGCCGAGGCACGCAGUGAGUGCCAGGUCAUCACGCUGCUGGAGACGCGAAGACACGGACACGCUCGGUGUUCAGUAGCGAGUACCUUGUCACAGGCUAUGAUUGUUGCCAGUAGCGAUGAUGUAGUGGUGGAAGGAGAACCUGGCCGGACUGUUCUGCUGUCCCAGAAGGAAACUCCCGUUAAGAUUAUCCACGACUUUUUUAGUUAUCCUGUUGCCUCGCGCACACGCGUCCCGUGAACACCACGCAGCUGACGAGGAGAGAACCGAUCUGUCCCGCCUCACAUU